rnacentral:rRNA from 1 species
AGUGAACGCUGGCGGUAUGCCUAACACAUGCAAGUCGAACGGCAGCACAGUAAGAGCUUGCUCUUACGGGUGGCGAGUGGCGGACGUGUGAGGAAUACAACGUAAUCUACUUUUUCGUGGGGGAUAACGUAGGGAAACUUACUCUAAUACCGCAUACGACCUACGGGUGUAAGCAUUGGAUCUUCUGACCUUGCGCGAUUGAAUGAGCCGAUGUCGGAUUAGCUAGUUGGCGGGGUAAAGGCCCACCAAGGCGACGAUCCGUAGCUGGUCUGAGAGGAUGAUAGGCGACACUGGAACUGAGACACGGUCCAGACUCCUACGGGAGGCAGCAGUGGGGAAUAUUGGACAAUGGGCGCAAGCCUGAUACAGCCAUACCGAGUGGGUGAAGAAGGCCUUCGGGUUGUAAAGCCCUUUUGUGGGGAAAGAAAAGCAGCAGGUUAAUACGAAGCUGUUCUGACGGUACCGAAAGAAUAAGCACCGGCUAACUACGUG